rnacentral:rRNA from 1 species
CCUGGCUCAGGAUGAACGCUAGCUACAGGCUUAACACAUGCAAGUCGAGGGGCAGCAUGGUCUUAGCUUGCUAAGGCCGAUGGCGACCGGCGCACGGGUGAGUAACACGUAUCCAACCUGCCGUCUACUCUUGGACAGCCUUCUGAAAGGAAGAUUAAUACAAGAUGGCAUCAUGAGUCCGCAUGUUCACAUGAUUAAAGGUAUUCCGGUAGACGAUGGGGAUGCGUUCCAUUAGAUAGUAGGCGGGGUAACGGCCCACCUAGUCUUCGAUGGAUAGGGGUUCUGAGAGGAAGGUCCCCCACAUUGGAACUGAGACACGGUCCAAACUCCUACGGGAGGCAGCAGUGAGGAAUAUUGGUCAAUGGGCGAGAGCCUGAACCAGCCAAGUAGCGUGAAGGAUGACUGCCCUAUGGGUUGUAAACUUCUUUUAUAAAGGAAUAAAGUCGGGUAUGGAUACCCGUUUGCAUGUACUUUAUGAAUAAGGAUCGGCUAACUCCGUGCCAGCAGCCGCGGUAAUACGGAGGAUCCGAGCGUUAUCCGGAUUUAUUGGGUUUAAAGGGAGCGUAGAUGGAUGUUUAAGUCAGUUGUGAAAGUUUGCGGCUCAACCGUAAAAUUGCAGUUGGUACUGGAUAUCUUGAGUGCAGUUGAGGCAGGCGGAAUUCGUGGUGUAGCGGUGAAAUGCUUAGAUAUCACGAAGAACUCCGAUUGCGAAGGCAGCCUGCUAAGCUGCAACUGACAUUGAGGCUCGAAAGUGUGGGUAUCAAACAGGAUUAGAUACCCUGGUAGUCCACACGGUAAACGAUGAAUACUCGCUGUUUGCGAUAUACUGCAAGCGGCCAAGCGAAAGCGUUAAGUAUUCCACCUGGGGAGUACGCCGGCAACGGUGAAACUCAAAGGAAUUGACGGGGGCCCGCACAAGCGGAGGAACAUGUGGUUUAAUUCGAUGAUACGCGAGGAACCUUACCCGGGCUUAAAUUGCAGAUGAAUUACGGUGAAAGCCGUAAGCCGCAAGGCAUCUGUGAAGGUGCUGCAUGGUUGUCGUCAGCUCGUGCCGUGAGGUGUCGGCUUAAGUGCCAUAACGAGCGCAACCCUUGUUGUCAGUUACUAACAGGUUCCGCUGAGGACUCUGACAAGACUGCCAUCGUAAGAUGUGAGGAAGGUGGGGAUGACGUCAAAUCAGCACGGCCCUUACGUCCGGGGCUACACACGUGUUACAAUGGGGGGUACAGAGGGCCGCUACCACGCGAGUGGAUGCCAAUCCCCAAAACCUCUCUCAGUUCGGACUGGAGUCUGCAACCCGACUCCACGAAGCUGGAUUCGCUAGUAAUCGCGCAUCAGCCACGGCGCGGUGAAUACGUUCCCGGGCCUUGUACACACCGCC